AUUGAACGCUGGCGGCAUGCCUUACACAUGCAAGUCGAACGGCAGCGGGGACUUCGGUCCGCCGGCGAGUGGCGAACGGGUGAGUAAUGUAUCGGAACGUACCAUUGAGUGGGGGAUAACGCAGCGAAAGCUGCGCUAAUACCGCAUACGAUCUGAGGAUGAAAGCGGGGGACCGUAAGGCCUCGCGCGAUCGGAGCGGCCGAUGUCAGAUUAGGUAGUUGGUGGGGUAAAGGCUCACCAAGCCAACGAUCUGUAGCUGGUCUGAGAGGACGACCAGCCACACUGGGACUGAGACACGGCCCAGACUCCUACGGGAGGCAGCAGUGGGGAAUUUUGGACAAUGGGCGAAAGCCUGAUCCAGCAAUGCCGCGUGCAGGAAGAAGGCCUUCGGGUUGUAAACUGCUUUUGUACGGAGCGAAAAGGCUCUCUCUAAUACAGGGGGCUCAUGACGGUACCGUAAGAAUAAGCACCGGCUAACUACGUGCCAGCCGCCGCGGUAACAC
rnacentral:rRNA from 1 species